GGGCCCUUAGCUCAGCUGGGAGAGCACCUGCCUUGCACGCAGGGGGUCGUCGGUUCGAUCCCGAUAGGGUCCACCA
rnacentral:tRNA from 13 species